UUGCUACUGGACCUAGCGGCGGACGGGUGAGUAAUGCUUAGGAAUCUGCCUAUUAGUGGGGGACAACAUCUCGAAAGGGAUGCUAAUACCGCAUACGUCCUACGGGAGAAAGCAGGGGAUCUUCGGACCUUGCGCUAAUAGAUGAGCCUAAGUCGGAUUAGCUAGUUGGUGGGGUAAAGGCCUACCAAGGCGACGAUCUGUAGCGGGUCUGAGAGGAUGAUCCGCCACACUGGGACUGAGACACGGCCCAGACUCCUACGGG
rnacentral:rRNA from 1 species